GGGCUUCGGCUCCAAGGAGUGGCGCACGGGUGAGUAGCGCGUGGGAACCUGCCCUGUUGUGGGGGAUAACCGAGGGAAACCUCGGCUAAUACCGCAUAAGCCGGUGAUCCUGAGAGGGGUUAUCGGGAAAGAUUUAUCGCGACAGGAGGGGCCCGCGUCGGAUUAGCUUGUUGGUGGGGUAACGGCCUACCAAGGCGAUGAUCCGUAGCUGGUCUGAGAGGAUGAUCAGCCACACUGGGGCUGAGACACGGCCCAGACUCCUACGGGAGGCAGCAGUGGGGAAUAUUGGACAAUGGGCGCAAGCCUGAUCCAGCAAUGCCGCGUGAGUGAGGAAGGCCUUAGGGUUGUAAAGCUCUUUCACCCGCGACGAUGAUGACGGUAGCGGGAGAAGAAGCCCCGGCUAACUUCGUGCCAGCAGCCGCGGUAAUACGAAGGGGGCGAGCGUUGUUCGGAUUUACUGGGCGUAAAGGGCGCGCAGGCGGCUUUGUUUGUCAGGCGUGAGAGCCCCGGGCUUAACCUGGGAACUGCGUUUGAUACGGCAGGGCUAGAGUUCGGGAGAGGAGAGUGGAAUUCCCAGUGUAGAGGUGAAAUUCGUAGAUAUUGGGAAGAACACCGGUGGCGAAGGCGGCUCUCUGGACCGAUACUGACGCUGAGGCGCGAAAGCGUGGGGAGCAAACAGGAUUAGAUACCCUGGUAGUCCACGCUGUAAACGAUGUGUGCUAGACGUUGGGGAGCCUAGCUCUUCGGUGUCGCAGCUAACGCGGUAAGCACACCGCCGGGGAGUACGGCCGCAAGGUU
rnacentral:rRNA from 1 species